UACGGGGGGGGCAAGCGUUGUCCGGAAUUAUUGGGCGUAAAGGGCUCGUAGGCGGUUUGUCGCGUCGGGAGUGAAAACUCAGGGCUUAACCCUGAGCCUGCUUCCGAUACGGGCAGACUAGAGGUAUGCAGGGGAGAACGGAAUUCCUGGUGUAGCGGUGAAAUGCGCAGAUAUCAGGAGGAACACCGGUGGCGAAGGCGGGUCUCUGGGCCGAUACUGACGCUGAGGAGCGAAAGCGUGGGGAGCGAACAGG
rnacentral:rRNA from 1 species